AUUGAACGCUGGCGGCAGGCUUAACACAUGCAAGUCGAGCGGGGGAAGGUAGCUUGCUACCGGACCUAGCGGCGGACGGGUGAGUAAUGCUUAGGAAUCUGCCUAUUAGUGGGGGACAACAUCUCGAAAGGGAUGCUAAUACCGCGUACGUCCUACGGGAGAAAGCAGGGGAUCUUCGGACCUUGCGCUAAUAGAUGAGCCUAAGUCGGAUUAGCUAGUUGGUGGGGGAAAGGCCUACCCAGGCGACGAUCUGUAGCGGGUCUGAGAGGAUGAUCCGCCACACUGGGACUGAGACCCGGCCCAGACUCCUACGGGGGGCAGCAGUGGGGAAUAUUGGACAAUGGGGGGAACCCUGAUCCAGCCAUGCCGCGUGUGUGAAGAAGGCCUUAUGGUUGUAAAGCACUUUAAGCGAGGAGGAGGCUACCGAGAUUAAUACUUUUGGAUAGUGGACGUUACUCGCAGAAUAAGCACCGGCUAACUCUGUGCCAGCCGCCGCCGUAA
rnacentral:rRNA from 1 species